AUGAUUCAUAUAUAUAUUUUUAUUUGAUCAAUUAACUUUUCAGUUAUUUAUAACACAAGUUUUUCUUUUACAUUUGUUUUUUAAUUUUGAUAGACAUGGACCUCUCCAGCCCAACAUGCAAUAGAUUGGGUUGGCUUCAAAUUCAUUUCAACCUGAUCCUUUAGUGUGUUUUUUUUUUUUUGACGGAUUGAAUAAGGAUAGAGUGUUAUUUAUUUAUUUGGACAGAUGCAUUUGAACAUUUGUGUACCUUAUGUAAAACUGUUCCUAACGGGAAAAGGUGGGUGUGGAGCUUCCGUGGGCUUUACGUCUCUUGCUUGUUGUAUUGGCACAUUAUAAGUUGAAAGUGGAAAGCAUCAUCAUCAGUAUCACCUAAUGUGUCGAACUCAUGCAUGACAUUAACUCCACAAAUGAACAAAAAAAUGGUGAAUAGAAAUAAAAGAAACAAAUAUAUAGGUGCAAAAGAAGGAGAAAUUUACAGCGGAAGUGGUAAAUCCGUAGAAGCAUAGUCCUCCGAGGAAUUAGCUGGAAGUCACAAUAGUGGUGAAUGGGUCCCUCCUCACUGCUCAUGCUAGCUGCAAUUGCAUUGCAUCUCUCUUCCCGCUUCCACUCAAACGCUCCUUUUACUUUUUACAUUCAUAUUUUCGCUUCAGUUUUUCAUUUCCUCUUUUUCUUUCUGGGAUGGUGUAUGAAACGACAGUGCACACAGCAACUUUCAAUCAAACAACAUCUCUUGUAAUAAAGCUUGACUUAUAUGAACAUGACACGAAAAUAAACCCUAAAUGUAAUUACGUGACAUUCAAAUAUAUAUUGUAAUAAUAGCAACAUAGGAAUUUUAAACUUUAAAUCUAUUGAA